GAUGAAGAACGCAGCGAAAUGCGAUAAGUAAUGUGAAUUGCAGAAUUCAGUGAAUCAUCGAAUCUUUGAACGCACAUUGCGCCCCUUGGUAUUCCGAGGGGCAUGCCUGUUCGAGCGUCAUAUUAACCACUCCCGCUUGCGGGGUCUUGGGCUUCGCCUCCGGGCGGGCCUUAAAAUCAGUGGCGGUGCCGUCGGGCUCUACGCGUAGUAAAUUUUCUCGCGAUAGGGUCCCGGUGGAUGCUUGCCAACAACCCCCAACUUCUUAAGGUUGACCUCGGAUCAGGUAGGGAUACCCGCUGAACUUAAGCACAUCAAUAAGCGGAGGA
rnacentral:misc_RNA from 1 species